rnacentral:rRNA from 1 species
GUACACUAGUUGUUGUGAGGCUCGACCUUGCAGUAAUGCGGUUAACACAUUAAGUGUACCGCCUGGGGAGUACGGUCGCAAGAUUAAAACUCAAAGGAAUAGACGGGGACCCGCACAAGCGGUGGAGCAUGUGGUUUAAUUCGACGAUACACGAAGAACCUUACCUGGACUUGACAUAGUAAGAAUGAUUUAGAGAUAGAUUAGUGUCUGCUUGCAGAAACUUGCAUACAGGUGCUGCACGGCUGUCGUCAGCUCGUGUCGUGAGAUGUUGGGUUAAGUCCCGCAACGAGCGCAACCCUCGUCCUUAGUUGCUAACAGUUCGGCUGAGAACUCUAAGGAGACUGCCUACGCAAGUAGGAGGAAGGUGAGGAUGACGUCAAGUCAUCAUGGCCCUUACGUCCAGGGCUACACACGUGCUACAAUGGGGUAUACAAAGAGCAGCAAUACGGUGACGUGGAGCAAAUCUCAAAAAUGCCUCCCAGUUCGGAUUGUAGUCUGCAACUCGACUACAUGAAGUUGGAAUCGCUAGUAAUCGUAGAUCAGCUAUGCUACGGUGAAUACGUUCCCGGGUCUUGUACUCACCGCCCGUCACACCAUGGGAGUUGAACUCAUUCGAAGCGGGGAUGCUAAAGUAGCUACCUUCCACAGUGGAUUCAGCGACUGGGGUGAAGUCGUAACAAGGUAACCAAUCUCUAGAGGA